rnacentral:rRNA from 1 species
UACGGGGGGAGCAAGCGUUGUUCGGAUUUACUGGGCGUAAAGGGCGCGUAGGCGGCCUCUGCAAGUCGACUGUGAAAUCUCCGGGCUUAACCCGGAAAGGUCAGCCGAUACUGCAGGGCUAGAGUACGGAAGAGGCGAGUGGAAUUCCUGGUGUAGCGGUGAAAUGCGCAGAUAUCAGGAGGAACACCUAUUGCGAAGGCAGCUCGCUGGGACGUAAACUGACGCUGAGACGCGAAAGCGUGGGGAGCAAACAGG